GAACCAGUCAUAAUUUUUUGAAAGGAAUCCAGCAACAGUGGAUUUGUGCCUGGUCAAAAGCUCCUUGAAAGUUGCCAUAGCAUCUGCUGCAAUAUCAAAAUUUGGAAGCUGUAUAUAGUUAAAAAACUUCUUUAUGUCUGAUUCCAAGACAUACCUCGCGAUGCUCUGGUGACGUAUGCACUCCCUCAACAUACCACCAUAAUGCAGAGCAAGGUCUGGGUCUUCAUACCCUGAUAUCAAAAUAUCAAUAAGAUUCAAGUUAGCUUCCAUGUAAGCAGACGCAAUAAUCCGAGA
rnacentral:misc_RNA from 1 species